rnacentral:tRNA from 1 species
CAAAGCAUAGCUAGUUAGUAAGUCUCUCUUUUACACGGAGUAUACACCUGUGCAAUUCAGGUUGCUUUGA